rnacentral:rRNA from 1 species
ACAUGCAAGUCGAGCGGUAAGGRCCUUCGGGGUACACGAGCGGCGAACGGGUGAGUAACACGUGGGUGAUCUGCCUCGUACUCUGGGAUAAGCCUGGGAAACUGGGUCUAAUACCGGAUAUGACCACGAAUCGCAUGGUUUGUGGUGGAAAGAUUUAUCGGUGCNANAUGGGCCCGCGGCCUAUCAGCUUGUUGGUGGGGUAAUGGCCUACCAAGGCGACGACGGGUAGCCGACCUGAGAGGGUGACCGGCCACACUGGGACUGAGACACGGCCCAGACUCCUACGGGAGGCAGCAGUGGGGAAUAUUGCACAAUGGGCGAAAGCCUGAUGCAGCGACGCCGCGUGAGGGAUGACGGCCUUCGGGUUGUAAACCUCUUUCGACAGGGACGAAGCGCAAGUGACGGUACCUGUAGAAGAAGCACCGGCCAACUACGUGCCAGCAGCCGCGGUAAUACGUAGGGUGCGAGCGUUGUCCGGAAUUACUGGGCGUAAAGAGCUUGUAGGCGGUUCGU